CCCAAUCUGCUUAUUAUUUUAUAGACAUAUUUUUAAUAAAAAAUAUCUCAAUAAUAAUAAAAUUGGUAUUCCGGGACGACGGUUAGAAUCCCUAAUCCAUCCCUGCCGUGGGAUGAGGCGCAGCGGCCAAAGAGGGAGAGGAGGCAGACGACCGUCCCCCGGGGCUGGAGGGUUUUGUUGACAGCCCAGUAGCCCCGGGUUCCGUCUCCGUCGUCGCCGAUCGUGUCCCGUAGACAAGUUCCGACGUCAACCCUAAGCGAGGGAAGCAAAUGGGUCGGUGGUCUCUCUAUGCUCUUAUUCUGAUGAUGAGCAGACGAACAUUCAGUUAAGACUUCCAUGUGGAUUUCGUCCGAUUGCUUUUUCCUGUCAUAGAUUCGCAUAGAACUUGCAUUCUUGCUGACCCUCGCACAACAAAUGAAUCUUUUAUGUUGCUUUCCUCUCAGAAAGAUCUUGCAAUCCUGCCAUUUCUAGGACGAUCUUAGUUACACAAGCAAAAAUCUUAGUAUGCGCUCAUCGAUCCUUUGUUCUCCAAUGUCAAAUAUUGCAACUUGAUCAUGCAACCAAGCAGCAUUUUCCUCAAUUGUGGAAGAUGAGAUAUCCGAUGCAGUGAAGGAAACCUGCUAAUGCCAGUGAGAUUACUGUAACAUUCCUGGGCAGCUUCCCCUCGUCGCUUCUCAGAAACAUGGCCUCGUAGAUAGGCCAGCAGUUGGCGGUGACAAAUGCUGAUAAGAACAGUUGCACAAAGAGUUCAUCAAACCCCCCCUCCAUCGUUGCAGCUCUUGCAAUCCCUAACACCAAAGAGCUCAAGUUUACAGUGGCCACUGCUCCAAGCACUACGAAGAAAGGCGACUCUACUCCGAAAUCGAAGGUCCCUUUCUCGUACCGCUUGCUCUGUUCGUCCUCCAUGACUUUGCUGGUCACAUUGAACCCUUGAGCAGAUAUGCCAAAUUUCUUGAGUACAAAUUGGACUGUUCCAAAUAGAUAAGAUGUGAGGCCUAUGAUCAUCCACAUCCUCUGGUCACUCCACCACCUCCCCAUUGUUCCAUCAGCUGCAAGAAACUCAAGAAGGUCUUGGCCAUAGGUAGUGAAAAAGAGGUAGGCAUACAAGUAGAACCAUGGGUCUGAGACCUGAAACAGACAGGCAUCUCAGCAGAAGCCUCUGGGAAUGCAAACAAAAUAGAGAGGAUGGUAGAAGCCAUAUACAUAUACCUUUGGGAACAAGGGGAUGCCGUAGAUGAGAGCUAGUUGUGGAAGAAAACCAUAUAUUGUUAUCGGAAUGCACCAACUACCCCAAAAGGCUUCAUGUGCAUAGCAUAAACCCACUAGCAGUGAAGCCUUUACGGUGCCAAAGGUCAGGGGGCAACACUUUGAGAAGGCCACCUCGAACAGCCCAACGCACCAUCUCUUGCGUUGGCUAAGGACAUCAUUUAGAUUCUUUGGCACAUCGCCAAGGAAUGCUGGCCUCGCAGGGUAGCAGAAGACAGAUUUCCAUCCUUCACACUGAAGAUGAUAACCUGUGUGGUAGUCCUCUGAAAGUGAUCCAUAACGGAAGCCAAUCUGCAGGUUUGGAGAAUCUAAACAUUCAGGAUGAUCUGUGUAUUAGACCUCAUUAGCAAGGAAAGUGCAUUUCAAUCAUUGUAAGAAUGCAAACAUUUUCUCUAUAAUUACCGAUGAGCCCCACUUUGUGCCAGGUUCAUAAGUGCAACUAGCCACUUCAUGAGCUUUUCUCAGUACAGACUCUGAAGACAAUGGAUCAUUGGCCCCUGGAGCCAGAGAUGUUGAUGAUGGUGUGCCUUGCAAAGACCGUCGUGAGAAGUAGCAUGCGGUGCCAACAUAAUUAGGCCCUCCAAGACCAUCUUUUCCCCUUGGAUUAAUGGUAUAAAGGCGCUUUACCUCACACGCAUAGAUAUCAUUCUUGUUAAGGCCUUGGAAGAUCUGGGGGAACUGUACAAAGGCAAGAUCAGGUGACAAGGCAGGGUCAAGAAAGUAGCAGAGUGCACGGAGAGGAGACCGAGGAUCAUUAGAGUAUGUGUCACAGUCCAAUGUGAGGAUCAUCGGGCCAUUGCUCAUGGUGCUCGAUACACGUGUCUUCAAUGUAGAAUCAAAAUGGAAAAGGUUAGCAUGAAGUUUUGAUCGAGGAGAGGAUGCACUAAACUUUAGAAUAUUUUUGGAUGCGUGGCGAUGAACAUACCAAAACAUUGAGGGCUCCAGCCUUGAAGUGAUGAGGGGAUGUUGGACGUUUCUCCCUGGAGACAUAGAUAACGUUUGGCAAUGCAUUGCCCAUAAUAUCUGUAUCCUUGCUGGUGUCGAGUAAAACCUGUUCAAAACCGAAGAAACCUUCUUAGUUGAGCAUGCGACAAGAGAUUGGAGUUCUUGAACAGUUUUUAUUAUCGAAAGCUUAAUGAUCAGGAUUUGCUAGCACAUAUACUACUUUGUAGACUUUGAUGAGGCUUUUACAAUAGAUAUGCAGAUUUCAUCAACAGUUUUGGCAGAAUGUUUAUUGUAAUUGUGAACUGAGAUCGAUGAGGUUCUUGAUUGCUUAAAACUUAUGAUGGAUUAGUUUAAGCCAAUUGUUCUAAAAAUCCUCAACAUUGGUGUCUGUCAUGGAACCAGAUUUUCCUAGCUAUUCUAACCAAACAGCAGCUGAUAUCUAUAUACAUUUUUUUUCGUCAGCAUUUGGAAGAAGACCUGGAUCAUGGAUGGGUGGUCAUGGCUGGGAAGCCCUUUCCAUCUCUUGAAUACUUCAGCUUCUUCUUGGGAGGAGACCAGAUCAUUGCCCACAUAACCUCUCUCCAGAGCAGUCUCCACUUUCUCCUUCAUAGUUUGGUACAUCAUCUGCAGCUUUGAGGAACAAAACUUCACAAGUGAGAUGUUUGAACAUUUCAAGAAUGCCUAUCAGGUAAGUCAACUCCUCCUACUGAAUUCAUAACAAGCUUUCUUUUUCUCUCAAAAGUUACAUCAGGUAGCUCCUUUCUUUAUGAAAUGCUAUUGUUGCAAUGGCUUAAAACCAAACAACUAGUUGUGCAAGAACAAAAUCUACCUUUUGCAACAAAUGAUUGUGUCAGAUAUUCAACUUAAUAUUUAGCAGCUGAAUUAUAGUCAGUUUCUUUCUUUAAGAACUAAGAGCUCUCCAGUCUCAAAAGAAAGAAAAGGAAUAAAAUGAAACCAAAUCUUACUAAAAUACCUUCGUCAAGAAUUUACUUUUUAUUAAACUAUUCAAGUCAAAAGCAAAAGCACUGGGCUUGUAAAAUAUUCUCAUGUUGCCUCUAUCUAGGAUUUGGUUUUUAUUACUUUCUGUAAUAUAUUCUUGUAAUAUAUCCUCAUGUUGGUCUAGGAAUUUCUUUUUAUUAUUACUGUCCCUUUCUCCACCUCACUUGGAUAAGUAUCAUUUAUUUGCACAGGACAAAUUAGAAUAAAUAGAUCUAAUCCUGACGUCAAUACCAUCAGCCUCUCUUUCUAUCCAUCAGAUUUAUGAAUGAGAAAGGAUCAAACCAAAAACUAAAGUCCUCAUAGAUCCAAACUAUUUAGAAACCUUGUUCCUUUUGGACUCCAUUCACACACCAUGUCUGUCCUUUCUCCUGCAAUCCAAAGCAACACUGUGUUGUUGUUGUGUUGUGUAUUAUUAGUGGACCUGACAGGAUAAUAUUAAUUCAAAAAAAGGGAAAAAAUUGACCAAUCAGGAGUCUUUAUUAUUAUUAAUUUUAAAAUGUAGAUGCUGAGCUGCGUGCAAUUGGGUGCAAGAUAGUGAUAGAAUAUACCUUCAUCUUCUCCGAGUCUCCGCCAUUGCUGGAUCUGAAGUAAGCCUCCGGCGACCUCACGACGAUCCCAUUCUCCUUGCAGAAGGGCAACCAGUACCUGGCGAACCUCGAGGCUUCCAUGAAGGCGAAGAGCGUGAUCUCCGAGCCGCCAUCGUCCGACACAUAGAUCGAGAUCCGGUCGGUUGGGUAGUC
rnacentral:lncRNA from 1 species